GGUGGGAGAGUGCAUCUUCUUUGUACUUAGGGUCUUCAGAUGCCUCAGUCUUGCUCUUAGCCCAAAGAUCCCAAGCAACUUUUCCAAGGUUGCUCAGGGCUCUGUGCUGCAGUGACCUGUUGCAUAAUUCUUCCCCUUUAUGAAAUUUCCAUUUGCUCCUCUUGCUACCGGCCAGCAGUCCAGUGGUGGGAGUGAUGUCUGUCUUCCCAGACUUCUAGUGAACAGAUUUUCCCCCAGGUUUCUGGAUGCGGCCCCAACCUCCAAAAGUGCUACACUCUUGCGCCAGGGACACUGACACGGGUCACACAGAUGUUCAAACCAGAAGUGCAAGAACUGUUCGCUCUCCCCCUCCCUGAUCUACGCCCGGGUGUCUGAACGACGGGCUUUGCCUUCCCCAGCAGGCCCGCCGAGUAAUCCUCCUAGGCGUGCGAGUAGCAGCUGAUGCUGGGCGGCUGGAACCUUGGCAGAAAGAGCAGGAUGGAGGGCGUGCUGGCGGCUUGGGUCUGGCCACCUGGGUCAGUCGCGCCCCCGCCCUCCGCUGGCCCGCCCUCAGCCCCGCUCCUGCCACGCCGUGAAGUUUGCGGAAAGUUUCGCAGUUGCUUCUCCACCCGCGCCAGCCGGGGAGUUGUGACGUGACGCAGCGUCUGAGGCUCCAGGCGGGACACAGGAGUGAGGGAAGGCGAGGAGGGGAGACAACUAGCAAACAGAAGUGGAGAGAAGGAGCGCGCACUUGGGUCUGCCUUGGGCGCGCGAAUCCUCCCCGCCAUCCCCAUCCCUCGCUCCCGACGCGCUCGGUGCGGACCCGGCCCCAGCCCCUCGCAGCCCGCGCCUCCUCCCCUCCCGCGCUGCCCACUUCCCUUCCCCUCUACCCCUCCAACCCUCCUCCCUGUCCCGCGCUCCUCCCUCCGCCCUCCCCGCCCCGCCUGCCUUCCUCCCUCCUCCUCCCCGGGAGGCAUCACUCCGUCCCGACCCGGAGAGGACGCGAGCCCCGCGCGGGCGGUCCUCGCAGCCCAGCGCCAGCUCCAGCGCCGCCGCCGUGCGCCUCGGUGCCCGCGUCCGCCGGGCGCAGCGCCGCGCCGCGGGAUGGGGCCCACGCCCGGGCCUCGUCACCUGCUGCGCUUCUUCGUCCUGCUCCUUGGGGGCCUGGGGGCCGCCGCCUCCGCCCUCCCUGGUAAGACUCGGCCAACUUGGCCAACUUUGGGCGCCGGUCGCGGGGAGCGGGCCUCUCUCGACUUUUCCCUCGGCGCCCCCCUUCCCC
rnacentral:lncRNA from 1 species